UUUAAAGUGUAAUGUAAGUCGCUUUGGAUAAAAGCGUCUGCUAAAUGAAACAGG
rfam:Gasterosteus aculeatus cont1.001551, whole genome shotgun sequence.